GCCGGCCUCGCGCGCCAGGGAGGGAUGGUGUCGCUAGUGGCCGGUCCUGGGAGAGGGUCGUCCGGUGCCUUCACCUUUUCCGGUUUCCGGUUUGACCCUAUGGCCUAGGUGCUGCGGGCUGGCAACGCAGUGUGGAACUAGUGGUGGGGUUCAGAUUUCUGCGCUUUUCGAACUACGUAUUGCUCCCAUGGGAGUUGGAUGAGGCGCUGGGACUAGUGUCGAUUCCAGUGGGCGGGGGAGCAGAAGCUCUGCACUGCCUUUAAAGGGUUCGGAACUUUCGGCCCAGCUGCUUAAAUAAGUCGGCGUGAGUCGGUGGAGAGAUAGACUGGCAGUCCGGAGUUCUGAGGAAUUAUGCUUUGCUAUCAGGAAAGAGCUGCCAGAGGGAACAGCUAGUGCAUAAGUCCUAAGCGGGGAGUCAAGGAUGAUUUUUGGCUAGAAGAACUGGAAAGAUGCGGUUCUGAUGACCAAAAUGGGGCUUCCUUCUCGCUGGGCACUCAUUCUUCUUGCAGCCAUGUGAAAAAAAAAAUGUGUUUGCUUCCCCUUCUGCCAUGAGGCCUU